rnacentral:misc_RNA from 1 species
CUGGCGGAUUUCUUCCAGGCGGCGUUCUCAGAGGAAAGAGGCGCGACGCUUCAAUAACGGUUCCGAAUUCUUCGCGACGGGCGCAGGGACACAUCGUUCCUCAGGUAUACUCUGCGUGCCUUGACCGCAUUACAGUAACUGUGUAGCAUUUGUGCAAAUGUUGCGAGGCCUUUAGGUCUGCUUCGAGGAGGUAAUGGAUGGAUGUCAUGAAGGGUCUCGGGGAGCAUGGGAAGAGCACGCCGCUUGCAGGUGUGGAGAACCUCAUGCUCCACUU